rnacentral:rRNA from 1 species
GAUGAACGCUGGCGGCGUGCCUAAUACAUGCCAGUCGAGCGAACAGACGAGGAGCUUGCUCCUCUGACGUUAGCGGCGGACGGGUGAGUAACACGUGGAUAACCUACCUAUAAGACUGGGAUAACUUCGGGAAACCGGAGCUAAUACCGGAUAAUAUAUUGAACCGCAUGGUUCAAUAGUGAAAGACGGUUUUGCUGUCACUUAUAGAUGGAUCCGCGCCGCAUUAGCUAGUUGGUAAGGUAACGGCUUACCAAGGCAACGAUGCGUAGCCGACCUGAGAGGGUGAUAGGCCACACUGGAACUGAGACACGGUCCAGACUCCUACGGGAGGCAGCAGUAGGGAAUCUUCCGCAAUGGGCGAAAGCCUGACGGAGCAACGCCGCGUGAGUGAUGAAGGUCUUCGGAUCGUAAAACUCUGUUAUUAGGGAAGAACAAAUGUGUAAGUAACUAUGCACGUCUUGACGGUACCUAAUCAGAAAGCCACGGCUAACUACGUG